rfam:Leminorella grimontii ATCC 33999 = DSM 5078 strain ATCC 33999 GLGR.assembly.07, whole genome shotgun sequence.
AAUGAGAUCCGUGCCGUUUUUCUUCGCUUUCUUUUUUAGCCACCCCUGACUGGGAGGCGUUUCGUCCGUAGCUCCAAAGCGAGCAGAAAGAAAGCGAAGACGAACACUGAAGCCUCCCAAAAGGGAGGCUUUUUUAUU